rnacentral:rRNA from 1 species
GACGAACGCUGGCGGCGUGCUUAACACAUGCAAGUCGAACGGAAAGGCCCUGCUUUUGUGGGGUGCUCGAGUGGCGAACGGGUGAGUAACACGUGAGUAACCUGCCCUUGACUUUGGGAUAACUUCAGGAAACUGGGGCUAAUACCGGAUAGGAGCUCCUGCUGCAUGGUGGGGGUUGGAAAGUUUCGGCGGUUGGGGAUGGACUCGCGGCGUAUCAGCUUGGUGGUGGGGUAGUGGCUUACCAAGGCUUUGACGGGUAGCCGGCCUGAGAGGGUGACCGGCCACAUUGGGACUGAGAUACGGCCCAGACUCGUACGGGAGGCAGGAGUGGGGAAGAGUACACAAGGGGCUGAAGCCUGAUGCAGCAACGCCGCGUGGGGGAUGACGGGCUGCGGUUUGUAUACCGCUGUCGCCUGUGACGAAGCGUGAGUGACGGUAAUGGGUAAAGAAGCACCGGCUAACUACGUG